rnacentral:lncRNA from 1 species
CCGGGACGUGCCGUGUGGCACGCUACCCGCCGCGCGCGCAUCCUGUCCCCCGCCCUCGGAAUCCCAGCACGGGGGCCGAGCCCCGAGCUACAUUCCUCCUCCUCCUUCUUCGCCACCCAAAGACUCACGCAUACACACAUUUUUCUUUCGUAUCUGCUGUCUCAGCCUCCCUCGGGCCAAUUUGGGCCCACUUUUUGGCAUCCCCUAACAAGAAGUCCUCAGAGAUUUUUACUACUCAACAUGUGUGCGUCCCACUCAGAUGUAUUGUGUUCUUUCUGUUCACCCUCUACUUCCCAUUCCAUUUCUUCCUCUGACUUAGGGUUAGAAUGGCCCAAUGAUCCUACAACUUUUUGAUGCUAUUUCAUUUGAUUCCUCUACUGUCUAAAUCACAAGUUGGCUAACUUUACUUACUGUAAGGGAUCAGAUAGCAAAUAGUUUAGGCCUUGUGGGCCAUUCAAUCUGUCAUAACUACCCACUCUGACCAUAUGUAGUGCAAAAGCAGCCCUUGACAAUAUAUAAAUGAAUGAACGUGAAUGUAUUUCAAUAAAGCUUUACUUGUGGACACUGAAAUUUGAAUUUUAUAUCAUUUUCACAAGCCACAAAAUAAUUAUUUUGAUUCCCCCCCACCCUCAAUCAUUUAAAAAUGCAAAAAUCAUUCUUAGUUUAUGUGUGGUGAUAGACAGGUGUUGGGCUUGAUUUGGACCCAGUGCCAUAGUUUCAGACCCCUGGUUUAACUGAACUGAAAGGUAAUCAGCUCUGCAAAGCCAUUAUUACUGAAGGAGACUCCCCCUUUUUUCCCUUUGACGUUUCUUCUUUGCAGACAGAACACUGAUAAGUAGCAAGAGCUUUCCUUCCCUUAUCCAGCCUCCCUGCCUGGCAUCCUCAACUUCCUUUCACCUUCUCUCUAGAGCCUAAGAAUAGAAUCUUUACUAAACUCGCGGGGGAGAAUGUCUCCCUUUUCCUACAACCCUUGAACAGCCACUUAUCGUCAGUCUCCAGAUGUCUUGCACCCAGGACACAUGCUUCCUGUUUAUGACAAGCUGCCUAAGAAGGGGCAAGAACAGGCUCCAUUUCUAGGCGUAAAAGGGUAGGAUAGACGUGGAUGGAGAAAGAGUGGCUAUCCCGGA